rnacentral:misc_RNA from 1 species
AGAUCAAUUAGUGACCCUCCCAAUACGUGCCUGCUUUACAUAAAAACAUAACUUAUUUAUGCACACUUCUGCUGAAGGUUGGGAUGGCAAAACUCACUUUUCUGAGGGAAAAAAUUAGCUGGUUAUUUUCUGCCUGAAAGAAAUAGGGAAAAACCUCGAUUGGCAAAGAAAAGUGAUUUGGCACCGCUGGAAACAAGAAGGUGGGACAAAAGAAAA